AAAAAGUGUAUAAAGACAUCCAGCUGCAGAUUAUCUGUUGAACUCAGCAGCUUUUCAAGAAUCUGGUGACAUUCGUGCAGAAGGAGCUAAAACUGGCAAGUUUGAAGGGUGCUCUCUCAGCCACCAUCAGGGGUGUUGUCAUGGCAACGGCAGCCCCUCCUCUCAACGUCAGCGUCGGGUAGCUGGAGGAUGAAGCCGCAUGCAGCUCCUGUGUGUCUCUCGGAGCCUCUCAGAGGGCAGUGUGUGAUUUGCGCCGGGAGGGAAACGAUCUUCCCAUGACUGCUCUGACUCGCUCCAGCUGCUCUUCUUCAUCACCCACCUUCACCCUCGGACCCCAAGGGACCAACUGAUUGAGCUCUUCUACAGCCGUCAUGUCCUGGUUGUUCUUGGACUGGUUCGUGCCCCUCUACCUGCUGGUGUCGGUGCUGGUGCUGGCAGGCUUCGGAGCGUGUCUGUACUUCCUCGAGCCCGGGCUGCAGGACGCCCACAAAUGGAGCAGCAAAACGAUCCGGCAUCACCCGCUGGUGGCCAGCGUGAACUGCAGAGAUGACGAUAGCAAUGCCCUGAUCUGAUCCGAUGAUGGAGAGGGUGGCCGGCGGAGGACGCGUCCAGACAGUGGAGGGGCAGACAGGACACCGAGGGGACAGGGAGGAGAGGAGAGCGUAAGGGGGGAAACACCUUGACAACGAAAAUAGUAGCAGGAAGAGGGAUCAUUUAUCAUUCCAACUUUUCUUUGCUCUCUGUGGAUUUUCCCGACAGGGAUCAAAGAAAGUAAGGCAGAUAUGCUGGACUGCAGAAGAAGA